GGGUCCAUAGUUCAGUGGUAGAACAUUCGCCUGCAGAGCGGUAGGUCGCAGGUUCAAUUCCUGCUGGGCCCU
rfam:Nosema ceranae BRL01 Nc000072, whole genome shotgun sequence.